rnacentral:lncRNA from 1 species
CCUCAGCAAACCUACACCAACAACAGUGCUAGCAGACCUUACCACUAAAUCGUGGAAGGUAAAGAGGUUGUUUCCCAAAGAGGAAAUGUCCUCAGCCUACUUUUUUGGUUCAAAUUUGGCCCUUAAACUGACAGACUAUACCUGAUUAUCAAAUCUGACACUUUAUUUCCAUUUGAAAAUCCCAGAAAUUAAUAACAUAAC